AUUGAACGCUGGCGGCAGGCCUAACACAUGCAAGUCGAGCGGAGCGGCGGACGGGGUCGUAAUGCUUAGGAAUCUGCAUGGUCGUGGUGGAUGACGUCAGGUAACGGGCGCUAGUGCCGCAUCCUAGCACAUGCGCCUAGGUCGGAUUAGCUAGUUGGUGGGGUAAAGGCCUACCAAGGCGACGCUCCGUAACUGGUCUGAGAGGAUGAUCCGUCACACUGUGACUGAGACACGGUCCAGACUCCUACGGGAGGCAGCAGUGGGGAAUAUUGGACAAUGGGCGAAAGCCUGAUCCAGCCAUGCCGCGUGUGUGAAGAAGGUCUUCGGAUUGUAAAGCACUUUAAGGUGGGAGGCGUUACCAGCAGAAUAAGCACCGGCUAACUUCGUGCCAGCAGCCGCGGUAAUAC
rnacentral:rRNA from 1 species